rnacentral:rRNA from 1 species
GACGAACGCUGGCGGCGUGCUUAACACAUGCAAGUCGAACGGGAGUACUUUGAAAGCUUGCUGAUAAGUACUUUAGUGGCGGACGGGUGAGUAACGCGUGAGGAGCUGUCUUAUGCAGGGGACAACAGUUGGAAACGGCUGCUAAUACCCCAUAAGCCGAGAGGUAAAAGGAGCAAUCCGGCAGAGGAGGUACUCGCGUCCUAUCAGCUAGUAGGUUGGGUAACGGCCGACCUAGGCGAAGACCGGGGUAGCCGGCCUGAGAGGAUGAUCAGCCACACUGGGACUGAGACACGGCCCAGACUCCUACGGGAGGCAGCAGUAGGGAAUAUUGCGCAAUGGGGGAAACCCUGACGCAGCGACGCCGCGUGAGUGAUGAAGGCCUUUCUGGUUGUAAAGCUCUGUAAGGAGGGAAGAAUGUCAGGCAGUAACGUGUCUGAGUGACGGUACCUCCGGAGUAAGGACCGGCUAAAUACGUG